rnacentral:rRNA from 1 species
GGUAGCCGGACUGAGAGGUUGAACGGCCACAUUGGGACUGAGACACGGCCCAGACUCCUACGGGAGGCAGCAGUGGGGGAUAUUGCACAAUGGGGGAAACCCUGAUGCAGCGACGCCGCGUGGAGGAAGAAGGUUUUCGGAUUGUAAACUCCUGUCGUUAGGGACGAUAAUGACGGUACCUAACAAGAAAGCACCGGCUAACUACGUGCCAGCAGCCGCGGUAAAACGUAGGGUGCAAGCGUUGUCCGGAAUUACUGGGUGUAAAGGGAGCGCAGGCGGACCGGCAAGUUGGAAGUGAAAACUAUGGGCUCAACCCAUAAAUUGCUUUCAAAACUGCUGGCCUUGAGUAGUGCAGAGGUAGGUGGAAUUCCCGGUGUAGCGGUGGAAUGCGUAGAUAUCGGGAGGAACACCAGUGGCGAAGGCGGCCUACUGGGCACCAACUGACGCUGAGGCUCGAAAGUGUGGGUAGCAAACAGGAUUAGAUACCCUGGUAGUCCACACCGUAAACGAUGAUUACUAGGUGUUGGAGGAUUGACCCCUUCAGUGCCGCAGUUAACACAAUAAGUAAUCCACCUGGGGAGUACGACCGCAAGGUUGAAACUCAAAGGAAUUGACGGGGGCCCGCACAAGCAGUGGAGUAUGUGGUUUAAUUCGAAGCAACGCGAAGAACCUUACCAGGUCUUGACAUCCGAUGCAUAGCUUAGAGAUAAGUGAAGUCCUUCGGGACAUCGAGACAGGUGGUGCAUGGUUGUCGUCAGCUCGUGUCGUGAGAUGUUGGGUUAAGU